rfam:Halomicronema hongdechloris C2206 genome.
GCGGAACUGGCGGAAUUUGGUAGACGCGCUAGAUUCAGGUUCUAGUGUUCGCAAGAACUUCCGGGUUCAAGUCCCGGGUUCCGCA